UACGUAGGGGCCUAGCGUUGUCCGGAAUUAUUGGGCGUAAAGAGCUCGUAGGCGGUUCGGCAAGUCGGAUGUGAAAUCUCCACGCUCAACGUGGAGGGGCCAUUCGAAACUGCCGUGACUCGAGUCCGGUAGGGGAGUGUGGAAUUCCCGGUGUAGCGGUGAAAUGCGCAGAUAUCGGGAGGAACACCAGUAGCGAAGGCGGCACUCUGGGCCGGUACUGACGCUGAGGGAGCG
rnacentral:rRNA from 1 species